AUUGUUUUGCCCCUACUUCGAGCUUUUACGGUUUUUGCCGGGUUUCAUCUUUGAGUGAGCCGCUCGACCAACACUAAACCAGAGACAGGGCAAAU
rnacentral:ncRNA from 1 species